rnacentral:rRNA from 2 species
UACGAAGGGGGCUAGCGUUGCUCGGAAUUACUGGGCGUAAAGGGAGCGUAGGCGGAUAGUUCAGUCAGAGGUGAAAGCCCAGGGCUCAACCUUGGAACUGCCUUUGAUACUGGCUAUCUUGAGUUUGGGAGAGGUGUGUGGAACUCCGAGUGUAGAGGUGAAAUUCGUAGAUAUUCGGAAGAACACCAGUGGCGAAGGCGACACACUGGCCCAAUACUGACGCUGAGGCUCGAAAGCGUGGGGAGCAAACAGG